rnacentral:rRNA from 1 species
AUAAGCAAUUAUACGGCGAAACUGCGAAUGGCUCAUUAUAUAAGUUAUCGUUUAUUUGAUAGUACCUUACUACUUGGACAACCGUGGUAAUUCUAGAGCUAAUACAUGCUAAAAAUCCCGACUUCGGAAGGGAUGUAUUUAUUAGAUUAAAAACCAAUGCCCUCCGGGGCUCCUUGGUGAUUCAUGAUAACUCCUCGAAUCGCACGGCCUUGCGCCGGCGAUGGCUCAUUCAAAUUUCUUCCCUAUCAACUUUCGAUGUUUGGGUCUUGGCCAAACAUGGUUGCAACGGGUAACGGAGGGUUAGGGCUCGACCCCGGAGAAGGAGCCUGAGAAACGGCUACUACAUCCAAGGAAGGCAGCAGGCGCGCAAAUUACCCAAUCCCGACUCGGGGAGGUAGUGACAAUAAAUACUGAUACAGGGCUCUUUUGGGUCUUGUAAUUGGAAUGAGUACAAUUUAAAUCCCUUAACGAGGAACAAUUGGAGGGCAAGUCUGGUGCCAGCAGCCGCGGUAAUUCCAGCU